rnacentral:rRNA from 1 species
UACGAAGGGGGCUAGCGUUGCUCGGAAUGACUGGGCGUAAAGGGCGCGUAGGCGGAUGGUACAGUCAGAUGUGAAAUUCCUGGGCUUAACCUGGGGGGCUGCAUUUGAUACGUGUUGUCUAGAGUGAGGAAGAGGGUCGUGGAAAUUCCCAGUGUAGAGGUGAAAAUUCGUAGAUAUUGGGAAGAACACCGGUGGCGAAGGCGGCGAGCUGGUCCAUUACUGACGGCUGA